CUACACACGUGCUACAAUGGACGGUACAAAGAGCUGCAAGACCGCGAGGUGGAGCUAAUCUCAUAAAACCGUUCUCAUUUCGGUUUGUAGGCUGCAACUCGCCUACAUUAAGCUGGAAUCGCUAGUAAUCGCGGAUCAGCAUGCCUCGGUGAAUACGUUCCCGUGCCUUGUACACACCUCCCGUCACACCACGUGAGUUUGUAACACGCGUAUUCUUUGGGGUCACCUUUUUGGUGCCAGCCGCCUAAGGUGAGACAGAUGAUUGGGGUGAAGUCGUAGCAAGGUCGCCGUAUCGGACGGUGAGGCUGGAUCACCUCCUUUCUA
rnacentral:rRNA from 1 species